rnacentral:lncRNA from 1 species
AUAGAAGACUUCAUUUGUUUGGAGAAAGAAGAAUAUUAGAGGUUUUCUCAGGGUGAAUACUUACUAAAGGAUGUGCUUCAGAAAUCUGUGAGUAAUGAGAACACGGAUGGGAAGGAGAGAAAAAAGAUGGAGGCUAGUUGGGAAGCCACUACUUCAAUUCUGAAAUAAAUAAUAAAACCUGAACUAAAAUAGUGACAGCAGUGAUGGAAAACAGAGAAAAGAUGCAAAGGAUUUCUCAGAGUAAGCCUUGUUGGGACUCUCUAGUGGGUUGGAUGUGGGGAGCAAGGAAAAGGCAGAGGUUGAAGAUUGGCAGCUUGGAUAAGCACCUUCAACAGAACAGGGCACAUGAGAGUAGGAAACAUUUGCAUGCAAGCAAAAGAAAAAAAAAAGUGAUUAUUUGCAACACAUUAGGAUUGAGAUACCAACAAGAUCUCCAGGUUGAAAUGUCUAAUGCAGAUUGGAAAUAACGGGUGAGAAGGUUGGAGAGAUACAGUAUUAGACAUGUGGUUCUGGGAGUCACUUGUGGGUUAGCACAAUCUUUAGUUUGCAUGAGAUUCCCCACGGAGCCUGUCAAGAGCAACAAGAGGGUGAAUGACUGGUCAGGAGGUGAUGUCAACAUCAAGACAAACAAGGAAUGGUAAACAAAAGAGGAAAUAAAAGAAGGGACAGAGAGGGGCAAGGGAAGCAGAACAAGAGAACGUGCGUUAAGCCAAUGGAGAGGGUUUCCAGAGGCACACGUGGUUGCUCCUCAGUUAUUUGUUAGAUAAAUGGACCAGUGGAUAAAUGGCUAAAUAAGCAAAUACAAAUAUUUUCAGUCAUGAGCCUUGUGUUUCCCGCAGGCUAACAGACCUGUUUGUUUACCUUGUAAGUUAGCUUUCUGAGAACAAAGCAGUGGAAUUUUCCGAGGUGUCAAAUUCUAAAGAAUAGAAUUUUGUCAUCCAUUCUCCUCCUCAGAUAAAUGUUAAAAUGGAAACUCUACCUAGCACUCUGCUGGAAUUCACAACAUAGUAGCUGGAAACUUGUUGCCCAAGCUGCCAUCUUCAUCUGGCCAUGUAGGAGUCAUAUGAGAAUAAGACCUCACACAGAGGGCAGCAGGGAUGAAAAAGAGAAGAAACCAGGCCCUAGCAAUUUUAUUUACAUCCUGAUCAAACCUUUCCUGAUUUCAAUCCUAACUCUGGACUUUUCAGGCCGGUUCGGGCGCUUGGCUUUCGUCACACGCUGACAGGUUUUUGUUUAUCUUAUGUGAGAAAUGGACAAAAGGAAACAGAAAACAGAUGAAUAGGCAAAAGUAUGAAUAAACAACUCCAGCAGCUGAGUACCAGAUGGCUUCAGGGCCUUCAUGAGGACACAAAUUGAUUUCCCGAGAUUUCUGGAAGGAGAUUCUUAAUGUUUUUCUCAAGCAACAGUUAUGGUGAUAGAAUAAAAAUGAUCUCAUCAUUGACUGUAGCCUUCUGUAAAAAAAACAAGGAAAAGGUUGUUUUAAAGAAGCAAAUAACGGCAUAAUUGUUAAGUUAUCCUUCAUCCUCUCAUUUAUAUUACAAUACUUCCAACAACCAUUUGCUGGGUGCUCUUUGUUACAAACAGUGGGGUGCUGGGGAUGCAAGAGGAACAAAAUGACUCCCCCUGUCCUUGAGAAGUUCUUAGGUGGGUUGAGGAGAAUGUCUAGCGCAAACAUACAUGCUAACGCACACGGGAGGAAUCCACCGGGAGGUUGUGGAGCACAUGCGGCAGACAGUGGUGUGCGGUGUGGGAAGGGCAAAUGGCACCGGCUGUAGAAGCAGGCAGACUAGACUGAUUCUUGAGUGGCUCUGCCCUGACUUAGCUCUUCAGAGCUUCAAUUUUUCCUUGUAAACUUAGAAUAAUACUUAUACCUUUAUUUACCCAGCCAACAUGUAUUAAAAGCAGCCUCUGGUCUCCAGACACGUGGAACAGAAUGAGAGGGCCAAGGAAGAAGCACGUCCUUCCGGUAGGAGGGCCUGAAGACCUCACUUUUCUCAGAGGCCACAGUAAGAUUGAUGGAUUGAUCUACUUUCUGUGAGGAAGAUUGGCCCUGAGCUAACAUCUGUUGCCAAUCUUGCUGUAUUUUAUGUGGGACACUGCCACAGUAUGGCUUGACAAGCAGUGCUAGGUCCAUGCCUGGGAUCCAAACCUGUGAACUCCGGGCCACCAAAGAGGAGUGCACAAACUUAACCACUACACAACUGGGCCAGCCCCUCCUUAGGGAUUUAUUAAGAAGGCAGCUGUGGUUGGAGUUAACACACCCUGGAGCCAGAUUCCUGUGUGAAAAUUCCAGCUCUGAGCUUGCUGUGUGAUCUUGGGCUUUACUUAACCUCUCUGUGCCUCAAAUUCCUCCUUUGAAAACUGGGGACAACAACAGUAACAGUCUUAUAGGGUAUUAUGAGAAUUAAAUGAAUUAGUAAUAUACAUUGAGACUACUACAGGGCCUGGCACCUACUAAAGCACAAAAUAGUGAGUGUCAUGAAAUAAAAUGAGAUAAGUACGGAGUGAGGCUUGUGACUCACAAAAAUUGUCUAGUAAACAUUGUGUUCCCUGUGGAACAGAUAAGCACAACAUAUCAUCUUAAAACAGCUUAUAAAUGAGAUUUUUGAUGGGAUAGUAAGGUAAGUAUCACAAGUAACAAACGGUAAAAUUUUCUCACCUUGAACUGGAUUAUUUUAUCAUAGAAGGCACUAAGUGGACUGGGAAAUCUAAGAGACUUAUUUAUUUAUUUAUUUACUUUUGAGGAAGAUUAGCCCUGAGCUAACAUCUGCCGCCAAUCCUCCUCUUUUUGCUGAGAAAGACUGGCCCUGAGCUAACAUCCGUGCCCAUCUUCCCCUACUUUACAUGUGGGAUGCCUGCCACAGCAUGGCUUGCCAAGAGGUGUGUAGGUCCUCAUCCCGAUUCCAGCAGGCCAAUGUGUGGUGCGGAAGCUGAAGGUGAGAACCCACGCGCUGCAACACCUGUCUGGUCCCUAACAAACUUUUAAUUUGGUUUUCAUGUAAUGAAUUAAUUGAUCAUUUAAAUUAAUUAAUUAUUAAUUUUCUUAUUGGGCGAAGCCUAAGAAUUUUGUGAACCCCAGCCUCUAGUAUCUUCUUUCUGGAUUUUGCAACAAGACAAUCCAGGUGCUUGUGCUGCAGAUUUAGGAAAAGAGCAGACUAUCAAAUUGAAUGAGGAGCCCGGGCGUGGCUCACACAUGAGGUCAACCAAGAGUCUACACUUCCGAGAGAUCCUCUGCGAUGGCUUUUGAGAUCCGGGAUACAGGUGCACGCUGUCUUCAGGACACCCCGUUUUGCUCGGGCGCUCUCUUUCUCACGUUGGCUGUGGAGGUCUGCCUACCAGGGCGCUGGCGCAGACGCUUCAGAAGAUCCUCGUCCCUUUGGGACGAGAACGUUCGUGCAGCGGCUGUGCUGUGAUCAGCAAUGCUAGGGCACUGGGCCUUCUCCAGACGGAGGGACUCACCAGCCUGCAGGGUUCUGGGGAAGAGAGGCUUCGCAGGGCACCAUGGCGUGGUUUCUGCAGCGCCGCGCCACGCGCCGGGGGCACGUGGUGCCCAGGGUCCUGGACGCCCGUUUCUGCCUGGGAGGCUCGCCUUCAGCGUUUACAGCUCUGCAAGGACCUGCGUCCCGGGGUAAGCUGGACUCAUGCCUGGAGGUGAAAGCUCCUUUAGAUAUUGCCGUUCUUUUGUUGCUGUUGUUUAGCUCUUUGACGAGGAGAAAGCACUAUGGUCGCCUGCUGCCUCUGCGCCCUUGGCUGAGGGCUUGGCAUCCUAGAACUGUUCGAGAUAGGACGGCCUUCCAGCUGUGCUGAGUGCAAUAAAAUGGCACCUUCGGGAGUGACGCUGGACCCGAUGGAAUCUAGCAUACAAGCAGGAGGAAGUUUGGAGCCUGAGUCCUUUCGCACAGACCGCAUGGAAACAGCGGUGCCCCCGUGGCCGCUCUGCCCCGGCCAGGGCACCGCGAGCUCCCGUAGCACCCAGGGCUUCACACGGCUUUCCGGGCAACAGCGUCAGGUCUCCGAUUAUUAACCAAACUUUUUCUUAUAUUCGCCUCCCAACAAAAGCCUAAUGCUUUGUUCAGUGACUCCAUUUUUUUUUUUUUUUUUUUUUUGGAUAAGAAAAACGAAGAGUCAAAAAGGACAAGCUCUGAUCCAAAGCCACAUUGCCGGUAAAGCGUUCUGACCCCAGCCUCCCCGACUUCAACACGCAGCCUCUUAAUCCUCCUAUCCCCCAGAGUUGGCUCACAGUGGAACGAGCCUGGUGAGGCCCAUACAAAUGUAUUUUAAGGUAUAUAAUUUAUUCCCAAGUCAAUUUUAUCAUUUUAAACUUAUUUAUAUUUUAUUAUUAUUGUUUCGUUGUUGUUUGGUUUAACAGAGGAUCAGAGGAAAGGAUCUAACCAAAUCCCCACGAUGAGAAGCAGUCCCUGGUAAGCAGCAACUUGUGACGUCUCGGCCACUGAGGUCCUGAGAGCGUUGUCAGUUGGAGGCAGCCUGCGCGUCCCAGGCCCUGUGCUCCCUGCUCCCCGCGACCCCGCCUCCUGCAGGGCAACGAGAGGCAGCCCACAGGGAGGGGAGCAGGGAGGCCAGCGAUUUUGCUUAAAGAGAGCACAGAGAGACUGCCAUCAGCACGUAGAUUUCGGUGUGUUUAGCAGCUUCUGGUCUCACUUGUUUUAAACUGACAGCCAACAAAAACAGGGCUGAUAAGAGCAAUCCCUCAAAAUGACCCCGGCUGGCAAGUGAAGAGAAGCAGUGUUUGUUUGUGUACAAAGUGCCUCUGCAGGAAGACAAAUGUUCCCCUUCUGCCUGGUAGUGGGGGACAAUUCUGAGAGACAAGUUGACUUUGGAAAACAAAAAUUAAAAAUGCUUUAGGGUUAUUAUCAAGAAUUUCCUUUAGCCGUGAACACAGAAUAUGAUGUAAAGACUGUCCACUGUAUUCUAGAUUUGCAUUUUAAAGAUGCCAGAUGGAAAAGCCUAUUUCAUUCUCUUUGAGGUUUUCCUAUCGUGUGGUCAUUUAUAAACAUGUAAUGAGGACCUCCUCUGUGCCAUGUGCUAAGGAGGUAAGAACGGAAUGGUUUUUUCCACCUUAAUCAGACAUGUAAAUUAAUUCAAUUUAUCAGAAAUUUGCUAAAAUGGGCUGUGUUCGUUGGGACAGGCUAGCUGAUGUUAACAAGCUGCCUCGGGAUUCCAGUGUCUUAUGUCACUGCCCCAUCAGUCUGGAGGGCCUGCCCUGUGGUCAUUGAGGGACCCAGCUCUUUCCAGCUCACGCUUCGCCUUCCUCUGUGUUCGCCGAGUCCUCUCCCUUCUGUUAGCGGAUGGGGAGAGAGACGGAGAACUGUUCUUAGGAGGUUUCUGUGGGGCUUUCCUGGAAGUGGCACAGAUUACAUCUGCUCUCUAUCCCUUAGCCAGAAUUCAGUCAGACGGCCUCAUCUGAAUGCAAGGGAGGGUAGAAAACAUAAACUAGAAAGAAAAGGAGAGCCUGAAUAUUGGCAUACACUAGAAACUCUGACAUGGAAUUAUGUUCAAAGACCAAUGUCUGAACGAUCUCAUUUUAGAAGGGUGAAAGUUGAUGUUGACUGAGGCCUUCACAGUUGGAGACCAAAUAAGGCUCCUUAUUCUUUGCUAACAGAUUCCUGAUUUUGUUUGGUGGGCCCUGCUCCAGGUGAUAAACUGUUAGUCUGCCAGGCUUAUUGCGACAAUUCUGGUUCUACUUGGCUGACACACAUUUUCAGCUUUUUUUGCAGCUAACGGUGGCAAUAAGGUGUAAGUAGAUAUCUAAUGAGCUUCUAAGAAAGCCGUUUCUUUCUUUCUUUUUUUUUUUUUUGAGGAAGAUUAGCCCUGAACUAACAUCUGCUGCUAAUCCUCCUCUUUUUGCUGAGGAAAACUGGCCCUGAGCUAACAUCCAUGCCCAUCCUCCUCUACUUUAUAUGUGGGACGCCUACCACAGCGUGGCUUUGCCAAGUGGUGCCAUGUCCACACCCGGGAUCUGAACCGGCGAACCCCGGGCUGCCAAGAAGCGGAACGUGCAAACUUAACCACUGCGCCACCAGGCAGGCCCCAGCAGUUUCUUUCUAAUAAAAGGAGCAGGCCCAGGAAACAAGCUUGGUCUUAUAUCCUCUUCUCCUUGCUUCUUGCAUUUGACUAUGAUGAGAGAACCAGUGUUUGGAACUGUGGCAGCCAUUUUGAGAAUGAGAUGAAUCCUGCUGUCCCAGUGUGAUUAUUGAUAACGCACCCUUUCAUACUCAAAAGUGUCCUGAAUUAGACAACAAAUUGGGCAGUCCCAGAAAGAGCUUCAGAUGCUGAAGGUGAUAAAGAGGAAAGGGCGAUAGCAUCAACCGUGUGAAGUGGCUGGCCCAGCUCUAGGUGAUUUGUCUCCUGAGUUCAAUUUGAAGUAGACAGCAAGUGUUUCAUAUUUAAGCCUAUUUAGUCCAGGCUUCUGUUACUUUGAGCUAAAAGUUUUAUUUUCUGACGUAUUUAUCUUUGACUCAGGGAUUUUGGAGAACAGUUAGAGCUUGACCAUUAAUUUCAAACUAAAGCCUUUUAAAGUUCUGAAAUUUUGGGUUAAGUUUUUCUUCUCUGUAAUUUCCUGAAUUGGCAUGAUAAUUACGAAACUUUGCACAGAAGGCUUAUUUUGUGAUAUUUCCAAUAGGAACCAGAAGUGGAAGUGUCAAAACUCUCACCAGAAAGCUAGCUAUGAGAGGUUCUAUCCAAGCUGGCAAGCCCAGGUGGUUUGGAAAGUACAAAUAAGAGACCAAAUUGUCGGGGAAAUGAGGACUAGAAUCCUGGAGGGCAGUGUGACACUUUGCUGUCUUUAAAUUUGAAAAGAUUUAUUGGUCAGAUCUGUGUAUGAUGAAAAAGAAGUGCCAAACAUCCAGGAGAAAUUAAAUUUCACGAGAGGUAAAAAUAAGUCAAUAAGAGCAUUUAAAAGUUAAAUGACAAAUUUGUAGAAUUAAUUGCACUAUGAAUUUUAGAUAUGCGAUCUGGUAGGGUGCCAUAUUACAGAGGGGUCUUACUGCAUUGGAUUACUUAGAUCCCAGCACGUCUUAAAAACAUUCAGGUCCUUUCCCCAACAUUACUUCUUUUUGGAGUUAACUUGACAGGAGAUUACUAGUCUGUUAUGCUAAUUAUUUGAUGAUCUUUUACUUUCACCCAUUUAGGUCACUAAUAAGAUGCUCCACUUGACCUUCCUGUAAUUGAUUCUCCAGAAUGAUUAUUUUCAAUGCCAACCCAAUCCCAGCCUGCCCCUGGUUGAAACCCUCCAGUAGCUCCUCAUUCCUAACAGGACAGGACCUGACCCCACCUCCCACUUAGCAACAUGGGAAGAGACACACCUCUUCUCGAUCUGGCCCUCAUUUGCUUUUCUGGACUCACAUGUCCCCAUCUGAUACCUAGUCCUUGCCCCAGCCGUAAGGAACUUCUUUUAGUUCCUGACCUGGAGGCUGGGUCCCUCUUCCCUCUCUGCCUUCUGGGAUUCCAUACUUGGUAUUCCUUCUACGUGGAAUAUUAUUCCCACCCUCUCACCCCUACAACCACAGCUUCCAUUGACCAUGCCUACUCAUCCUCCAGAUCUCAGCUUUAGUGUCACUUUCUCUGGAAAGCCUUCUGUAAGCUGGAAGUCCCUGCUGUGUGACCCUUCUAGGCACUCCCAGACUUGACCCCAUCAGCACUUAGCCCACUGUAUGGUGAUUGCUCGCUCACUUGUGUAGAUCCGCUGUUAAACUGUAAGGUCUAUGAGGAUGUGUAGUGGGCAGAGUAAUACCCCCCAAGAAUGUCCACAUCGUAACCCUGGAAACCGUGAGUAUGUGAUGGUACACAGCAAAGGGAAAUUAAGGUUGCAGGUGGAAUUAAGGCUGAUAGUUAACUUUAAGGUAGGGAGAUUAUUCUGGAUUAUCUAGGUGGGCCCGAUGUAAUCACAAGGGUCCUUAAAAGUACAAAAGGGAGGCAGAAGAGGAAAGUCAGAGAGAGGUAUGAGUAUGGGAGAAUGAGCGGAGAGAUGCAAUGUUGCUGGCUUUGAAGAUGGAAGCAGGGAGCCCUGGGCCAAGGAAUGUGGGCAGUCUCUAGAAGCUGGAAAAGGCAAGGAAAUGGAUUCAUUCCUAGAGCUGCCAGAAGGGAAUGUAGCCCUGCAGAUGCCUUGAUUUUGGCCCAGUGAGGCCCAUUUUGUACUUCUAACCCACAGAACUGGAAGAUAAUCAAGUUGUGUUAUUUUAAGCCACGAGGUAUAUGGUAAUUUGUUAGAGCAGCAAGAGAAAAAAUAACACAGGAAAGAAAUGCUGUCUCUCUUGCUCACAGUUGUAGCCCAAGGUCCAUAAUAGUCCGUGGAAUGUGGUAAAUGGCUUGAUAGCCAUUCAUUGAAUGGGAAACUAGAAUGUCAGGCCAAGGAAUGGCUCUGGAGGAAUGCUCUGUAAGUAUCCAUGUUGCUAAUUGUGAUGCUCAUCGCCUUCUUCCAAUCAUCCUGCCUGUGAAAGGUGAUCCUCCAUUGUGUACUUAUUUCCCUUUUCUCUUUCUUGCUAAAGAUGAAGAAUAUUUUUCUAUUUGGAAGAAGGUAAGACGAUCCAUAUACUAAAAGACAUGAGAGAGAAGAAAGGUGAGAAACUGGGCCAGGAGAGAAAGUUGUAGCACUCUAAGGAGGACAGAGUAAACGAAAGGCUAGGAGCACUGAAGCAUGCUGUAAGGACUUAUGAUGGAUGUCAUUGAGGGUUAUGAACUAGAUCUGCAUUAAUGCUCUCUGUAAGACAAAAGUCUAAGAUGGGAUUAUUUUAAAGUCACUUAUGACUAUUAAAUUGUAUGUCUGUAGAAAAACUUUCUGCAAAGGCUGAGUUUGGCCAUUCUACAUUUAUUAGGGUUCCACUUCUUUUGACACAAUAGCACAAUGAUAGGGACACACUGUUAAGUCCAUUUUGGGUGUGUGAAGUUGAAGCAAACUAGGUAUAUAUCUCUGUCAACUGAACAGUAUUUUUUUUCCAGCUAAUUGAGCUCCUGGGAAACAAGGACAUGAGCUCUUGGUUCAUUACGUUCAAGAUAAGUCCAGCAACAUGUUGAUUUAUCUGGGCACCUUUGGAAUCCUUCAUAAGCAGCUGGGUUCACACAGGAGCCACAGAGGCAUCAAAAAGCCCCUGGAAGAAUUUAGUUAAUUGCCAUUACACUCACAGUUAUGUUACACUUUUGUUAGUUGCUUUUCUCCUUUUGUAAAGCUUAAGUGAGAAGAAGCUUUGCUUUUAAUAACUUAACUUUUAGUAAGAAGAUAUUUUGUACAUUAAAUCUGUAAGCAAUUUUCUUCAAAAUCCAGCUACAAAGAAGCUAAAAUGAAAGGAAACUGUUCUGAAAAAAAUUUCCCAAUAUUUUGGAACUUAAGAAGAGUGAGGAAAAUAAAGUUGCCAUGGAUACUAAAAAGAAAACAGUAGAACUUUUUCCAAAAUUCCUAGGUUAUAGGAAAAAAAUAUCUUUGAAUUGCAAGCUUGGAGAAAAUUUGUGACGUCCAUUUUCUGUACAUUUGCUAAAUAGGACAAGAGCACUGAAAUAAUACAGAUGCCAAAGGUUGAUUUUUAAAGACAAAAUUGGCUGUCAUCCUUGUAACAGCACUGACAGAGCAAUUGUGUUUCAUGUUGAAAAGCCCACAGGCACCAGGAGCAAAGCUAUAGACCUGUCUCCAGUGCUUCUCACCAGUGACACACAGCGAUAUGAAUAUUUCAAUGGCAUUUCUGAAGUUUCCCUUUCAGGAAAUGUUGGGCUGGUUUAAUCCAUUAACCCCUGAAGACACCAGAUUUAUAAUACAAACCUUAAAGUUCACGGAUUUAGCUUAGUAGCUAAAACCACUUCUUUUCUCUCUUCCUAAGAGCCUAAAUUUUCUGCUCUGAGGAGUAAGUCAGGAACAACUCAGGCUUGUGUUGCCUAACUUGCAGAUGCUUAUUUUCAAACCUCUGUUUACUUGUGAAGAUAAAGCACGCAUCUUAAAAAUAAAUUAAAACAGCAAAAGAAGGUUUACAAUGAAAAGGCAUCCUUGAAAUUAUAAUUAUGGUCUUUUGUUACGAUUUGCUAAUGGCUGACGCCUCCACUAGACUGUUCUCUCCAAGAGGGGAUUGGAUUAUUGUAUUCAGUCAGCAAUUGUGACAGCAGGUUCCUUAGUGUCCAGCGUAGAGCUUGGCAUAUCACGGCCUCUCAAUAAAUAAUUCUUGGUUGAAAACAUCAGAGGAAACAAGCUAUCUGAUAUAAGCUCAAGUCUACAAAUGAGACAUGAGGUGACGUGUCUAAGAAAAUGAAGUGGGUUGUGGCAGAAAUUUCACUAGAAUCCAGAAUGGACCCCAGGCUGCAUGACUCCCACUCAGUGUUCUUAUUACCACAGUCAGUUUAAAUGGAAAUUCUUUUCCUAAUAAUCCUCAAGGCAAGAGUCGCAUGGCAACUAGAUUAAAGAACUCUGUAGGGCUCUUGUCUUCCAUUCCAAAUUAAAUGCAUCCAAGGUACCUAUGACUUGCCCACCAGUUUCAGGUGUAGAAGGUGAAGAAUUAAGGAAAGCUCCUCCAUUAGAAGAUGAAGGAUGGGUGCUAUGUGUGGUCUUGGCAUCUCAAACAAACAAACAAACAAACAAAUGUGGAACAAUGUACGUCAAGCCAUCACCUAUCUCCUUAGUUGCUUCUCUUAUAAAGGAGUGAACGAGAAGUGGAGAGAGAAAAUGAAAUUGUUAAAUCUUAAAAUUUCACUCACCAUCCACUCCUAUCCAAGGGUAGGGAAGCUUAUUUCACUUCUUAUGAAACUGUGGAGAUUAGGGAAUAAAGAGUUUCACAAAACACUCCCCAAUUCUUGUUUUCAUGACCUGUAGCAUCUAUAGGUACCUCCUAUUAUCAAAUUUCCAGAGAGAAAUGCAAGUCCAAGAAAUGAAAUAAAUUCCCUCAAAUUAAAUGAAAAGAAACUACAGUCCAGAUUUCUGCUUUCCUUGAUCUCUCCUCCUGCUCUGUCCCAAUCGGAGGGAACUCACAAGGACACUAGGUGAGAGUUGAGUGUCCCCCUGCAGCAGCUGCAUCCCCAGCUUUCUUCCCAGGAAGUGGGGGGAGGGGAGUUUCUUCUGCACCUACAAAGUUGAAUUAGUGUUACCACGAGCCCUUCAUGGAUCUCAAUUUCCAAUGAGUCAACAAGUCAGUGGGAUAUAUAGAAUACAUUGGCUCUAGCCCUGCAUCCACAAAAUUUAGAAGCCAACAUGGCAUUCUCCAACUACCUCGAUAAGUAUAUCAAACAGAUGUAUGUUCUCAGAAGUAAAUAAAUAUUUCAGUGCCGAUCCCCACUGCUGUGGAGUGCAAUGAGCCAAGAGCCACAGCAGUGAAAUCUUAGAGAAGAGAGAAAGGAAGCAAUCUCCCUGAUUUGAGACUUAUAAGAUGCCAGCUAAUUUCUAAACCUGAACUCCAUUGCUGUAAGAAAUUUCCUUUCAUGCCCUAUCAUCCCAAAUCCCCAGGGAAACAUCCAUCUUGCAAACUGAUUCUGUUCUCAAGUAGAGAUAUUUUCAACAGUCUAUCUUCUUGCAAAAUUUAGGCAUUUGCUGUGGUGAGGUCCCAGGAGAAGUGGCCAGCACAUCAACAGUAUUGCUCUCCCGUGGCAUCCUGAUGGGGGACUAUCCAUGGGCUCCAUCUAGAGACAGCUUCUACUUCCUUUUACAGAGAUGCAAAAGAUAAAGAGAAAGGAAUGUGAGCCCACCACUACAGAAAAUCAUCAAAUCACCAAGGAAGAGAGCAAGAGAGGAAGAAGGGAAAAAAAGGAACUACAAAACUACCAGAAAACAAUUGACAAAAUGGCAAUAGAAAUGGCAUCUGAACAGAGCAUGAGUAAGCUUCAAGUGACUUCUCCGGCAUAUUGAGAAGAGCUCUCCUCUUUGCAGGAGUCAGAAAGAUGAUAGCAGAUGGAGCACUGGACGGGGAGCAGUGCUCCUGCUUGCAUUUCCGUGAGGUCGGCUUCCUAACCUAACUGGACAGCCUCACACUCCUCCUAAAGGAGGUGUCGCAGCCCUUCAAGUGACGAUAAGCUGCAUGGAUUUCCUGUUGGGAGACGUUUUUAUUACCACAGAGGAAAUAGAGGCUGAUCAAUAAAAUGAUUUAAAUUAUGCACCAGCGUUUGGCUUUGAAUCUAAGUCUUUGUUCUUUGAAUUUCCAUAAACCCUUUGCUGUAGACUUGAUUAGC